rnacentral:sRNA from 1 species
CUGAAAGUCCUGGAGACUGAAGUCCACUCUUUAUCCACAGGACAUGGACAGCAGAGACAACAGCAAUGCAAGUGUCCUCAAAUUGAUCCACAACUGUAUCUUAACCUGGGACCUGAGCCCCGCAAGCCCAAGUCAGCUGACCUAGGACAGCCAUGGAUUUUUAUCCCUAUGUAGAUGUACCCUAGGAUACU